UCUCAUUUAGUUGUCGUAUUUAGCACAAACGAACAGCAAGUCAGUGUGUCCAGAAAAGGUUUCAAAAUGCAAAAAAUUAUAUUUUUCGUACUCUCGAUGGUUCUUGCACAAGCCAAAUGUGACGAAAAUGUUGAAAUUUUAAACAGUAAAUAUAUACCCAUUGUGAGGGUUGACUUAGUUAAUGGCAAAGCAAUAGAACCACAACUUAAUGCUGUUGAUUUAGUACGUCAAUGGUUGGAUGAACUGGAGUUGUCUGUUUAUAGCUUUAAUCUGCGGCAGGCUAGACUAAUGAAGGAUGGUUAUAUACUCUUUGAAAUGGAUAAGGCCACACAGGCUUCACAUAUUGUUGAUGUAUGGCAGAAUAGUAAAUUGGCUGAAACUUUUAAAGCUGAACAAUCAACAAAUAAUUUCUUUGAUGAUUUUCCUGCUGGAACUUUUGCUUUGUAAUUUCUUCUCCCAGCAAGAAGAAUGACAGAUAAAGAAAUUGUAAACACAAAAAGUCACCCAUUCAAAGAAUCAUCGAGAAAAUGAAGAGACACAUAGAAACAAAAUUUGAACAAUCUGAUCACACUCAAUACGCAGCGCGAAGCUGGAUGCCGACAUCAAGUGUGACCGUUCAUUUACAUUUUAUGGUGCUUUAUGAAUGAAAAUGAAAAAAUGUACUAUCUUUAAUGAAAUUACACAGAGAAAACUAACAAAACGAUUUUAUCUUUAAUUGAAAUUCCAAAACUUUAUUCUUUAACCUUUAAUUAAUAACCAAAAGAGUACAUGUAAAUGCCUAAAAUUCA